rnacentral:rRNA from 1 species
UACAGGGGGGGCAAGCGUUGUUCGGAAUUACUGGGCGCAAAGGGUCUGUAGGUGGCCAACUAAGUCAGACGUGAAAUCCCUCAGCUUAACUGGGGAACUGCGUCUGAUACUGGAUGGCUUGAGUGUGGGAGAGGAAUGCGGAAUUCCAGGUGUAGCGGUGAAAUGCGUAGAUAUCGGGAGGAACACCGGUGGCGAAGGCGGUUCUCUGGGCCUGUACUGACGCUGAGGAGCGAAAGCGUGGGGAGCGAACAGG